CGUAGUCGAUGGGAAACAGGUUAAUAUUCCUGUACUUGGUGUUACUGCGAAGGGGGGACGGAGAAGGCUAUGUUGGCCGGGCGACGGUUGUCCCGGUUUAAGCGUGUAGGCUGGUUUUCCAGGCAAAUCCGGAAAACCAAGGCUGAGGCGUGAUGACGAGGCACUACGGUGCUGAAGCGACAAAUGCCCUGCUUCCAGGAAAAGCCUCUAAGCAUCAGGUAACAUCAAAUCGUACCCCAAACCGACACAGGUGGUCAGGUAGAGAAUACCAAGGCGCUUGAGAGAACUCGGGUGAAGGAACUAGGCAAAAUGGUGCCGUAACUUCGGGAGAAGGCACGCUGAUAUGUAGGUGAAGCGACUUGCUCGUGGAGCUGAAAUCAGUCGAAGAUACCAGCUGGCUGCAACUGUUUAUUAAAAACACAGCACUGUGCAAACACGAAAGUGGACGUAUACGGUGUGACGCCUGCCCGGUGCCGGAAGGUUAAUUGAUGGGGUUAGCGGCAACGCGAAGCUCUUGAUCGAAGCCCCGGUAAACGGCGGCCGUAACUAUAACGGUCCUAAGGUAGCGAAAUUCCUUGUCGGGUAAGUUCCGACCUGCACGAAUGGCGUAAUGAUGGCCAGGCUGUCUCCACCCGAGACUCAGUGAAAUUGAACUCGCUGUGAAGAUGCAGUGUACCCGCGGCAAGACGGAAAGACCCCGUGAACCUUUACUAUAGCUUGACACUGAACAUUGAGCCUUGAUGUGUAGGAUAGGUGGGAGGCUUUGAAGUGUGGACGCCAGUCUGCAUGGAGCCGACCUUGAAAUACCACCCUUUAAUGUUUGAUGUUCUAACGUUGGCCCCUAAUCGGGGUUGCGGACAGUGUCUGGUGGGUAGUUUGACUGGGGCGGUCUCCUCCUAAAGAGUAACGGAGGAGCACGAAGGUUGGCUAAUCCUGGUCGGACAUCAGGAGGUUAGUGCAAUGGCAUAAGCCAGCUUGACUGCGAGCGUGACGGCGCGAGCAGGUGCGAAAGCAGGUCAUAGUGAUCCGGUGGUUCUGAAUGGAAGGGCCAUCGCUCAACGGAUAAAAGGUACUCCGGGGAUAACAGGCUGAUACCGCCCAAGAGUUCAUAUCGACGGCGGUGUUUGGCACCUCGAUGUCGGCUCAUCACAUCCUGGGGCUGAAGUAGGUCCCAAGGGUAUGGCUGUUCGCCAUUUAAAGUGGUACGCGAGCUGGGUUUAGAACGUCGUGAGACAGUUCGGUCCCUAUCUGCCGUG
rnacentral:rRNA from 1 species